AUCAAUCUCUUGUGUUUUCCAGGAGAUUGCUGCUCAACAUCAACUGAAGCCUGCAUUCUUUCUAGACAAUGCCACCAAGUUUGAUGUUAUUCAGGGAGAUCUAGGUGACUGCUGGGUAGUAUCGGCUAUUGCCUGUUUGACUAGUCCUGAUCACCGCGAACUCUUUCGUCGCGUGGUUCCCGCAGACCAAGGUUUUCAGGAUGGCUGGUAUGCUGGGAUCUUCCGAUUUAAUUUCUGGCAUUUUGGCAGGUGGGUGGAGGUUGUCGUGGAUGACCGGCUGCCGACUUACCGUGGACAGCUAAUGUUCGUUCACUCAUGGCAUAAAAACGAGUUCUGGGCAGCUCUGAUGGAGAAGGCAUACGCCAAACUGUAUGGUUCGUAUGAGGCCUUGAAGGGAGGGAAUGUAGCCGACGCCUUGACAGACUUUACCGGUGGAAUCUGUGAGGGAUACACACUCAGGGGGGUCAACUCCAACGUCCCAAGAAAUAUCGUCAACAUCCUGUUCAAGGCCUUAGAUAGACAAUCUCUGAUUGGUUGUGGUAUCAAUCCGGUGAAGGGUAACCAAGGAGAGCAGAAAUUACCCAGUGGUCUGGUGGCAGGACAUGCUUACAGUGUCACAGAUCUAAGGGAGAUUUUACUGAUGUCAGACAAUCGUGAGACUCCAAUCACCCUGAUCCGGGUUCGAAACCCAUGGGGCAACAAGGUUGAAUGGAAAGGGUCAUGGGGAGACAGAUCUCGAGAAUGGAACAGCAUUCCUGCUGAUGACCGAGAAAAGAUGGGGCUUAUCUUCAGGGAUGAUGGUGAAUUCUGGAUGGAGUUUACUGACUUCAUGCAUCACUUUGAUACAGUAGAGAUUUGUAACUUGACACCGGAUUCUCCUGUUGAAAUGCCCAAACAGUGGCACACUUCAGAAUAUCACGAACGCUGGCUCAGAGGGUUUAAUGCAGGGGGUCGACCCAAGUACAGAGGGUCUCAUUGGACAAACCCUCAGUUCAAGGUGACCUUGUCUGACACAGAUGAGGAUGCAGAUAAGAUGUGUAGCUUUAUCGUCCAACUGAUGCAGAAAGAUCGCAGAAAAAUCAAGCACAAAGGAGAGAAGCUCAUCUACAUCGGCUUUCUUGUUUACAGGUUAAUGCAGAGUCUCCCUGUCCCGCUGAAGAAGGACUUCUUUGAGACGAAUCAGAGUGUAGAGUCUAGCGGCCACUUCAUCAACAUGCGUCAACGAAUCGCGCGGCUCUCCCUGCCUCCGGGGGAGUAUGUGGUGGUUCCCUGUACAUGGGACCAGAAUGAGGAGGCGGCCUUCUACCUGCGAUUCUUCUUUGAGAACAGGAACCGCGUGGAGGAAGCAGAUGAUGCCCCGGUCAGAGAAGAGGUGCCCCUCCCCUCCACCGACAAAGAAAAAGAGGACCACUUCAAGCGCUUCUUUCACUCUGUCUCAGGGGAGGAUAUGGAGGUCAGUCCCUAUGAAUUACAGACAACCUUGAAUGAAGCCUUACAGAAAGAACCUCUCCACAAGCACCUUGGUAUUGAUGCAUGUAAAACAUUUGUAUCGCUGCUGGAUGUUGAUGGUUCAGGUAAACUAGGAUUCACAGAAUUCUUGUAUCUGUGGAAGUUACUUCAGAGCUGGAAGAGACUGUUUUACCAGUAUGACGUAGAUGGCUCGGGUAUGCUCAGCUCGUUUGAACUCAGACGAGUGUUGGGAGCAGCAGGGUUCAAGGUGGACAACUCUACCAUGAAAUCGUUAGUUUGGCGUUACACAGACGAACAGUUCAAUCUCAGUCUAGAUAGCUACUUUAUUUGUCUUGGAAAACUUAUGAAGCUUUUCAAUGAAUUUGACAAGUUAAAGAAAAAUGACCUUGUGACAUUAUCUUUACCAGAGUGGUUAAAGAAAGGAGUAUCCUGAUACAUGGACUAUAAUGGAUGACUGCGGUAGUCCAUGGAGCGAUCUCUGGCCGUGGUAGAGUUAGUACUGUGGGACAACACAUCUGUGUCCGGGACCCCCUCAAGUACACAGUAGUCUUUUGAACAAUUGUUAUAGCAACAAGGCAUGACAAUAUGGGAAGUGAACCAAGUUACAUGUAAAGCCAUAUUAAGUUCUGGAACCAGCAUGACAACUAAGUGAGCAACAUAGUCAACUUAAUGACAGUUUAGUUUUGACAAUGGAACAACAAGUGGUGAACAUUUUGACAACAGGGAAAACAAAUAAGAUCAUGAUAUUAGUUGCCAAAUGACGGUGUCAUAAGCCAUGUGACAACAUGAUUAGCCACCUUACCUGAAGCCAGUUUGAUCUUUGUUUGUGAUAUCGUGUUCUGUAUCAAACAAUUUUUCGGAUUACACAGGGUUAUAAGCUAUAUCUGCAUCUGCUCAAUUACCUCAGGAAUUUCACCCACCCUCAGGCUCCCAGCAAAGUCCCGGGGUGUGGUUCACUAAGAUCAUUCCAAACCUUUUCCAUGAUUGAAAUGAUUUAGAAACAGGCAGCUAUUUGUUUGCAUUAAACAAACUAAUUCCAUUGUGAAAUAGAAAACACAUUCCAUUCUUUCAAGAACUUGAAUUAUGACAUAAGCCAGUUGUUCUCUUCAUAUCUACAAUCACAGAUUCGUUGUAACAAGUUUAGGUCUUACAUGUAACAAUCUGCCAUUGAUCUGAUAUUUGUUUACUGUGAUUACACUAUAUGUAGGUAAAUUAUUGUAGAUUUACCGAACAAAGAUCUGAUAUUCACUGCACUGUGGUAUCAUGUAGGUAAAAUUAUGUGUACGUGUAUGCUUACAAGAAAUAAUCUGAUAGAUGUAUUCUGUGCAUAGUAACUCAACGUAGCUAUAAGUGCACAUGUACCAAUAAGUGAUCUGAUAUUUGUGUACUGAGGUAACACAAUUAUAAACAUGUAGAUUUAAGUGUUAGUGUACUAAUAUUAAUUGUGCAUAUUGCUGCAGCACCAGUAUUAACACUGCAUCAAAUGCCAUACUGUUGUCUUAACUGGUAGGCAUUGUUCAUUUUUAUACGAAGUCAGAUUAUUUUAGUUGACUCAAUUUUUAUUUUAAUUAGAGUUUUUUUAGUGUGUGUUUCAAUAACUUUUAUUCGAUUUCUAAUUCAUUUGAAUUUAGUUUUGGAGGUGCAUUUUAAAAGAACUUUUAGAAUAGUUGAUAUUGUUGAAACAGAUCUUGAUGAUUUGUUUAUUGAUCCUUCUGUACUUUUGAUGAUAAUUGAUCUAAUUGUUAUGAUAAUUUAUUUGUUGCUAUGUAUAUGAACCUACGUACCAUAUAUGGUAGGAAAUGAUCAAUAACUGAUUAUAUUUAUUUUUGUUUUAAAAUUCUAUAGUGUAUCUGUGCAUUAUGACAGUGUUUGGGAACAUAAUUACCUACUGACAAAUUGUUUAAAAAAUUAAAAAUUAAAAUAAUUUUUCC
rnacentral:misc_RNA from 1 species